rnacentral:rRNA from 1 species
UACGAAGGGGGCGAGCGUUGUUCGGAAUUACUGGGCGUAAAGGGUGCGCAGGCGGUCGGGUGUGUCAGAUGUGAAAUCCCGAGGCUCAACCUCGGAACUGCGUCUGAAACUACUCGACUAGAGUACUGGAGAGGGUAACGGAAUUCACGGUGUAGCAGUGAAAUGCGUAGAUAUCGUGAGGAACACCAGAGGCGAAGGCGGUUACCUGGACAGUUACUGACGCUCAGGCACGAAAGCAUGGGGAGCAAAAGGG